rnacentral:rRNA from 1 species
AGGACGAACGCUGGCGGCGUGCUUAACACAUGCAAGUCGAGCGGAAAGGCCCUUCGGGGUACUCGAGCGGCGAACGGGUGAGUAACACGUGAGCAAUCUGCCCCUAGCUUCGGGAUAGCUCCGGGAAACCGGAAUUAAUACCGAAUACGACUACGGCCGACAUCGGCUGUGGUGGAAAGUUUUUCGGCUAGGGAUGAGCUCGCGGCCUAUCAGCUAGUUGGUGAGGUAACGGCUCACCAAGGCUAAGACGGGUAGCUGGUCUGAGAGGACGACCAGCCUCACUGGAACUGAGACACGGUCCAGACACCUACGGGUGGCAGCAGUCGAGAAUUUUUCUCAAUGGGGGAAACCCUGAAGGAGCGACGCCGCGUGGGGGAUGAAUGGCUUCGGCCCGUAAACCCCUGUCAUUUGCGAUCAAACCUUACGACCUAACACGUCGUAAGUUGAUAGUAGCGGAAGAGGAAGGGACGGCUAACUCUGCGCCAGCAGCCGC